GAUGAACGCUAGCGGCAGGCCUAAUACAUGCAAGUCGAGGGAGAAGUUAGGUGCUUGCACUUGAUGGGAACCGGCGAACGGGUGCGUAACACGUAUGCAACCUACCUAUAACUGGGGGAUAGCCCGAAGAAAUUCGGAUUAAUACCCUAUAAUAUUUAGUCAUCGCAUGAUGAUUAUCUUAAAACUCCGGUGGUUAUAGAUGGGCAUGCGGCCUAUUAGUUUGUUGGUGAGGUAAUGGCUCACCAAGACUACGAUAGGUAGGGGGUCUGAGAGGAUGAUCCCCCACACUGGUACUGAGACACGGACCAG
rnacentral:rRNA from 1 species